CUGGGGGGUGAGGGGCUGGGACCAGGAGGGAGGUGGUGAGGGGCAGGGCCUUGCUGGGGGGCAAGGGGCUGGGACCCAGAGGGGCGCAGGGGGGCUGGGGCCAUGCUGAGCCGCAGCCCUUCGGCACAGCUGUGCCCUAGCCCAGCCGAGGCCCAGGGAGGCGGAUGCAGGAUCUCGGGCUGGUGCCAGCCGUGCUGUGGGGGCAGCAGCCACAGCUUCUCAUUCUGCUCCCCCCCCCCCCGGCCCUGCCCCCUGCUGCGGGGGCACCACCGCUGGGGCCAAAGGGACCUGCCUUGUUCCCGUUUCAGUGGAAUCAGACCAAGCCUCCCUGGGUCCCUCUGCCCCAGCGUAACACCCAUAGACCCCGCUCCUCUUCGGGCAGGAUCGGACUGGGAUCUCUGGAGCUUCGUGCAUGAACCUCUACAGCAAGGAUCCUUAACCUUUACCUGCACCCCUUUGGUUCACUAGCUGUGUUCUCACCCCCCUUAUCAAAAAUCGCUGAAGUAGGUCAGUUCUUUAAACCUGUGUUUUUUGUUUGUAUGUUACAGUAAUCGUUAAAAAAGGUCUCAUGUUAAUACACACACAGGUUUGAUGAAACAAAGUAUUUGUACUUACGUGCCUGUGCUUAAUUUGUGUUUUUGAUGAUUUACCUUCGAAAAAAAUCUGGCCUGUCUCACACCCCCAGAAAGGGCAUCUCGCCGCCUCAGGGGGGAGUGCACCCCAGGUUAAGAACCACUGCUCUACAGCAUGAGCUAAAACCCAACGGGCUGCUAGCUAAGGCUGCAGAGGAGACUCGUUCUCUCUCUCUAAGUGGUCUUGGCCACUAGCCGAGACAGAACCCCACACCCAGAAGGCACGUGGGUCUCACCAGCACCCCAGGAGCUGAGCACCUGAGCGAUCGGGCGCCUGGGCCAGGAGCCCCAGCGGAUCACACGCUAGCGUGGCACGCAGCAGAGCUGGGUUUUGGUGCCAGGGCUCGCUGCCCGACCUUGGGCACAGCACAUCCCUGCUCUACCCUCAUUUCCAGAGGCGAAAGCUGAAUGUUACCAACCUGCUGCGUAAUGCGCUUUGAGAUCUGCCCCCGAAAGGCACCUGCUAAGAGCUGGGACGUGCCCUCUCCCUUUGACAGAUGAGGAACUGGGCCAAGGAGGCUGCAGCAGAGCUGGGAACUCAGCUGGGAAGUGGGAGAAGGGCUCAGGGCCCUCACCCCUGCUCGCCCCCAGCUUAGUGCUGCAGUUUGCACAGGUUAAGUCUGUUUUGCAUUCAUUGCGCUGACAUGGCGCUGUCCCUGUGUGAGGACGUCAUGGCCUAGGCUGAAGGUGCACCGGCCCUGUGCCUGCAGGGUAGCACAAGGUGGAGAUGAGCUCAGUGGAAAUGCGCCGCCACGUAACCAGCUGACAGAUCCUUCUCAGCCAGUUGUCUCCAUUAGCUGAAAGCAGGGACAAGCCUCAUCAGCCCCCUCAGCAUGUAGCAGUUAAGCAACCAGAAGGCUCGCAUGGAGCCGCGUUCCCAGUUCAACCCAGACUCAGGCCAGAGCACGAGAGGUGCUACCCGCAGCAUUCCCGCCUCUCAACAGCAGCAAGCAAUGAGCAGAAAAGGGCAGAGAUGGGAAACAGAGUCAAGGCAGGGAUGAAGUAGAAGUGAGAACAAAAUCCCCAGCAAACACAACAGCAGAGAUGUGAAAGCUCGGUCGCAGCAGCUGCACCAGGAGCAGAUUCCAAAUCUGGCAGGAAGGGAACUGGGUCUGACAGAAGCUCAGCACAGCUGCAGUUACCAAUAUAGAGCACCCUGGACAUGAGCUAUGCUUACCCCAGGCCUUCCUGUGUAAGCAAGAGGGGAUGCAGCUCAGUGUAGCAAAGGGGGUGUCUGGAUGCUGAAAGCUGCCAUGAGGUUGUAGGGUGCAGUAUUGGAGUGAUGGGGCUUGUGAAUCACCAGACUGUUAGUUCAGUGAGGUCUCCCCGGGGACAGAAAGUUGAAGGGUCCAACCUGUAGCUGGAUGGACACACAUACCAGUGUCUGUAGGACUAGGCACUGGUGUCCAUGGACUUAGCCAUGGCCAAGAGAAACAUGAUUAAAUCCAGUCUGCCUGGCUCCCAGACCACCCUCUGGCCAAUGGCUCCCGGCUCCAGGGGAAGUGUAAGUGUUCAGAAAAUGACACAUUUUUACAGCAAGUAGAGAAAGGAGACAAGGCUCGAUAUAAAUCUCUCUUUACUUUGGAAAGGCAAUGUCCAGCUCUUGAGGGCUUGGAAGCCCCACAAAUACAGCAAGCCAGACAGCAUCUAUAGUAGAAACAUGGUAGCAAUUUUAUAAACCUCAAAUCAAAAGAGUGUGGGGAGACUACAUAAAAAGACCUGCAAAUCCUCCCCAGAGAAAGCAGCUUCUCACCCUCCCCUCAACAGAGGCCAGCAGGGCACCGUUCUCAAUCACUGGACACCGGCUUGCUUUGCAACUCUACGUCCUGCGCGACUAUCUCAGCUGGCUAGUGGCUCAGUCCCAAGGCAUUAAACAGUCCCGUUCUCGGCAGCACACACUGUUAAGGGCUUGAUACCCAAAGCUGCCAGCAUCCUACUACAUUGGCUCAGCGGCAUUUAAUAUGAUAUUACAAAUGGAGCUGGAGAAAGGGUGCAAAGGACUGAGCGUCUCGUUCCACACAGAGCACAAGGGCGGCCUUGUGUUGGACAUUGCGAAACCACAAUCACCCUCCAAGCUUGGUCAACAGAAGGGGAAAGGCAGAUCGGCUUCCUGAGAAGCAGUGUCCGGAGGCUGCCUGGCUGCAGGGAAAGCAGGUCUGUUUGCCACGCUGCAGCUGGCUCCUAUUGAAAGGCUCAGCAAAACAGAAAUCAAGGAAAACGUUUGACUCCCCGCACCCCAAAAGAAACUUCUAGAACAAAAGUCCAUG